AUCUUGGUGGCUCUGGGUUUGGUUUGGGGGCCAUCUCAAUGACUUUGGGGCCAUCUCAAUGACUUUGGGUUCAUCUUGUUGGCCCUGGGGUUGGUGUGAGGUCCAUUUCAAUUCAUUUCUAUCCAUCUCAAUGACUUUGGGUCCAUCUCAGUGGCCCUGGGGUUGGUUUGGGGGUCGUCUCAAUGCCUUUCUAUCCAUCUCGAUGACUUUGGGUCCAUCUCAGUGGCCCUGGGGUUGGUGUGAAGGCCGUUUCAUUUCCUUCCUAUCCAUCUCGAUGACUCUGGGGCCAUCGUGGUGUUGUUUUGCUGCCUUUGGGUGCGCAGUUGGACGAGUUCUACGUGGGUCAGAUCCCUCUGAAAGAAGUGACCUUCGCCCGCCUGAACGACAACGUGCGGGAGCCCUUUUUGGCCGAAAUGUGCCGCAAAUACGGCGAGGUGGAGGAGGUGGAGAUCCUCCACCACCCCAAAACCCGAAAGCACCUGGGCUUGGCCCGCGUCCUCUUCACCAGCACCCGCGGCGCCAAGGAAACGGUCAAACACCUCCACAACACGCCGGUGAUGGGCAACGUCAUCCACGUCCAGCUGGACAUCAAGGGUCAGCCCUUCCCUUCCUUCUCUCUUU
rnacentral:lncRNA from 1 species